CCUACGGGAGGCAGCAGUGAGGAAUAUUGGUCAAUGGGCGCGAGCCUGAACCAGCCAAGUCGCGUGAGGGAUGACGGCCCUACGGGUUGUAAACCUCUUUUGCCGGGGAGCAACGGGCGCCACGUGUGGCGCCACUGAGAGUCCCCGGGGAAAAGGCAUCGGCUAACGCCGUGCCAGCAGCCGCGGUAAUACGGAGGAUGCGAGCGUUACCCGGUUUUAUUGGGUUUAAAGGGUGGGUAGGCGGAUCGUUAAGUCAGUGGGAAAAUUGGGGGGCUCAACCCCUUCCCGCCAUUGAUACUGGCGCUCUUGAGUGGAAGAGAGGUAUGCGGAAUGCGUGGUGUAGCGGUGAAAUGCAUAGAUAUCACGCAGAACCCCGAUUGCGAAGGCAGCAUGCCGGCUUCCGACUGACGCUGAAGCACGAAAGCGUGGGGAUCGAACAGGAUUAGAUACCCGAGUAGUC
rnacentral:rRNA from 1 species